rnacentral:rRNA from 1 species
UACGUAGGGGGCAAGCGUUGUCCGGAUUUAUUGGGCGUAAAGAGCGUGUAGGCGGCUGGGUAGGUCCGUUGUGAAAACUCGAGGCUCAACCUCGAGACGUCGGCGGAAACCAUCUGGCUAGAGUCCGGAAGAGGAGAGUGGAAUUCCUGGUGUAGCGGUGAAAUGCGCAGAUAUCAGGAAGAACACCCGUGGCGAAGGCGGCUCUCUGGGACGGUACUGACGCUGAGACGCGAAAGCCAGGGUAGCGAACGGG